rnacentral:rRNA from 1 species
GACGAGCCACACAAACGUUAUUCGGAAUUACUGGGCUUAAAGGGUGCGUAGGCGGCGUGGAAAGUUGGGUGUGAAAGCCCUCGGCUCAACCGGGGAAUGGCGCCCAAAACUACCAUGCUCGAGGAAGACAGAGGUGAGCGGAACUCAGGGUGGAGCGGUGAAAUGCGUUGAUAUCGGGAGGAACACCGGUGGCGAAGGCGGUUCUCUGGGCCUGUACUGACGCUGAGGAGCGAAAGCGUGGGGAGCAAACAGG